GAAGGUUAAAUACAUAUCCAAAAUGAUAAGCUAUAACACUCUUGAAACAAAAAUAUAUGUCUUCCAGUCCACCACUUUGGUCCAGACUGAAAAGUCUGAGGUACUAGAUGCACUGUUGUGGUAAUGUUUUCAGUUUGUUAGUGGGUAUGCGUGUGUGUCACCAUGACAAAAUUUGAAGCCUUUUUUUUUUUUUACGGGAACUAACACUGAAGCGAUUUUAAGUAUUUUGCCAUGUGUUUAUAUAUCUGUCUGUCUAUAAAUCUGUCAUCACUGU